rnacentral:rRNA from 1 species
UAAUACGGAGGGCGCAAGCGUUGUUCGGAAUUACUGGGCGUAAAGGGCGGGUAGGCGGUCCGUUAAGUCGUUUGUGAAAAUCCGGGGCUCAACCCCGCGAACUGCAGACGAUACUGGCAGACUGGAGACCGGUAGAGGCUAGCGGAAUUCCUGGUGUAGCGGUGGAAUGCGUAGAUAUCAGGAAGAACACCUGUGGCGAAGGCGGCUAGCUGGGCCGGGUCUGACGCUGAACCGCGAAAGCGUGGGGAGCAAACAGGAUUAGAUACCCUGGUAGUCCACGCCGUAAACGAUGGGCACUAGGUACCGGGUCUAUAGACGGAUUCGGUACCGCAGCUAACGCAUUAAGUGCCCCGCCUGGGGAGUACGGUCGCAAGGCUG